GAUGAACGCUGGCGGCGUGCCUAACACAUGCAAGUCGAACGGACUUAUAUUGAAGCCUAGCGAUAUGUAAGUUAGUGGCGGACGGGCGAGUAACGCGUGGGUAACCUGCCUUGUACUGGGGGACAACAGUUGGAAACGACUGCUAAUACCGCAUAAGCGCACAGCUUCGCAUGAAGCAGUGUGAAAAACUCCGGUGGUACAAGAUGGACCCGCGUCUGAUUAGCUAGUUGGUGAGGUAACGGCCCACCAAGGCGACGAUCAGUAGCCGGCCUGAGAGGGUGAACGGCCACAUUGGAACUGAGAUACGGUCCAA
rnacentral:rRNA from 1 species